UCUCGGGAAGACACCAUUCACGGACGCGUGAUGCUGGGAUGGAGUUUCGGGAUGGAAGAAGAAGGCAGGCGAUCAACAGGGCUUCACGAGCAGCGGAGGAGCUGAGAGCGUGAUCGACGGAGCUUGACGCUGAUCGCGGGAUCAAUGGGUGCUAAUCCGGAAGCGUGAUGCGGGAGGGCAGAUCACGGACGGAUGGGGCGGAGGGCGUCGGAGUGGGGUGCUGGG
rnacentral:lncRNA from 1 species